rnacentral:rRNA from 1 species
GAUGAACGCUGGCGGCGUGCCUAAUACAUGCAAGUCGAGCGAACAGAUGAGGAGCUUGCUCCUCUGACGUUAGCGGCGGACGGGUGAGUAACACGUGGAUAACCUACCUAUAAGACUGGGAUAACUUCGGGAAACCGGAGCUACUACCGGAUAAUAUAUUGAACCGCAUGGUUCAAUAGUGAAAGACGGUUUUGCUGUCACUUAUAGAUGGAUCCGCGCCGCAUUAGCUAGUUGGUAAGGUAACGGCUUACCAAGGCAACGAUGCGUAGCCGACCUGAGAGGGUGAUCGGCCACACUGGAACUGAGACACGGUCCAGACUCCUACGGGAGGCAGCAGUAGGGAAUCUUCCGCAAUGGGCGAAAGCCUGACGGAGCAACGCCGCGUGAGUGAUGAAGGUCCUCGGAUCGUAAAACUCUGUUAUUAGGGAAGAACAAAUGUGUAAGUAACUAUGCACGUCUUGACGGUACCUAAUCAGAAAGCCACGGCUAACUACGUG